rnacentral:rRNA from 1 species
GUGUCAGCAGCCGCGGUAAGACAGAGGGUGCAAACGUUGCUCGGAAUUACUGGGCGUAAAGCGCGUGUAGGCGGGAAGAUAAGUCGGGUGUGAAAUCCCUGGGCUCAACCUAGGAACUGCAUCCGAAACUGCCUUUCUGGAGUGAUGGAGAGGAAAGCGGAAUUCCCGGUGUAGAGGUGAAAUUCGUAGAUAUCGGGAGGAACACCAGUGGCGAAGGCGGCUUUCUGGCCAUCAACUGACGCUGAGACGCGAAAGCGUGGGGAGCAAACAGGAUUAGAAACCCCAGUAGUCC